UCUGGUAUCAUUUUUCUAAAAGUUUUCUUAGCUGCGUGCCUUUUCAUCUUCUCCGUUCUAAUUUUGUAAUUUCUUUGAAAAUACUUAGUGUGAUUUUUGAGAGAAUUUGUAAAGAAACUCUUUUGUGAGUUUCUUCUGUGGGAAUAUCGUGUUGUAUUUGAGACAUGGGAACUCAGUGUUCUGUAACUUGAUUUUUGCCUAUUUUGGCCGAUUUAGUGGUUUCGAGCUUAAUGCUUUAUGGGCGCUCAAUGGGGGACCAAGCAUUAGAAGCAGUCAUUGAACCUCUAGGGCCUUUGGUCGAAAAAUAUCUCAUGUUCUUUAUUUUCUGUUUUGAGUUUAAGAAAAAUCUUGAUUUUGUACGUUGAGUAUUUUUGGUUUAAACUCGAUUCUGGACCUACGCAUGUUUUCUAAGAAGGUAUGAAUAAUUUUUCCAUUAAAC
rnacentral:lncRNA from 1 species